UACGUAGGUGGCGAGCGUUGUCCGGAUUUACUGGGCGUAAAGGGCGUGCAGGCGGUUUGUUAAGUGCAGGGUGAAAGCUCCCGGCUCAACUGGGAGAGGUCCUUGCAUACUGGCGAACUCGAGGGAGGCAGAGGAAAGUGGAAUUCCCGGUGUAGUGGUGAUAUGCGCAGAUAUCGGGAGGAACACCAAUGGCGAAGGCAGCUUGCUGGGACGGUACUGACGCUGAGACGCGAAAGCGUGGGGAGCAAACAGG
rnacentral:rRNA from 1 species